rnacentral:lncRNA from 1 species
UGUGCUUUCUCACAUGCUUGCACUAGUAAAAAGCAUCCUCUCCUUUCCAGCAUCAUACAGGCUGUCAAAGUGCUCCCUUAUCCUUCCUUAUCCUCUUAGGUCGAAUUUCCUCUCUUCUCCUCAUUAAGUUACCUCCUCAUCCCAUCAGAUAACUUCCCCAAGUAGUUACUGUGGUUAAAAGAAAGUUACCACAGUAAAACUCUAAAGUUACUGUCUCAGCCUCUUUGGUCUUCAUCUCAACAUCAAGCACAUGUUGAUGUGAGAUUUUCAGAGAUCUCAGGUUGUGUGUGUGUAUAAGCUCCAAUGGAGGAAGCUGAGAAGAUUAGAGUUUGUUUUAGGUGAUUUUAGAGAGAGAGUUUAAAUGGGAUAAAACCUUGAUGAGGGAAAAAGAGUGGAGACUCCAUGGUUGAGGGGCUCAGCUCCUAGGAGUAAGAUCAAUGAGUCCAAGUCUUGAUAGUAUGGACUCCAUUGUCUUUAAUCUCGCUGCUUUAGUAAACACAUCUGCAAGCUGAUCUUCACUUCUUGUAUAACAUGGCAAUAUCACUCCAAGUAUAAUCAUCUGCCUCACCUUGUGGCAAUCAACUUCUAUAUGCUUCGUCCUCUCAUGAAAGACUGAGUUAGAAGCAAUGUGGAUAGCUGCUUGAUUGUCACAAUGCAUUGUCAUAGGAGUACUCUGCUCAAUCUCCAAAUGCUUCAAGAUCCCCUUGAUCCACACCAACUCGUUUGUCAGCUUCAACAUGGCUCUAUACUCAGCUUCAGCACUUGAACAGGAGAUAACCUUCUGCUUCUUACUCUUCCAAGUGACCAAGUUCCCUCCAAUGAAUGUACAAUACCCAGUAGUUGAUCUCCUGUCCACUCUAUCUCCUGCCCAAUCAGCAUCACAAUAUCCAACCACUUCUGUACUGCCAUUACAACCCAUCCAAACUCCUUGACCAGACGUGCCACUCAAAUACCUCAGUAUCCUAUCAACCAUCUUCCAAUGAUGGACCUUUGGCGCCUGCAUAUGUUGACUCACUUGAUUCACCGCAAAGCAUAUAUCUGGCCUAGUGAUGGUCAAGUAGAUCAGCUUGCCAACCAUCUUCCUGUAUAGCUUAGGAUCCUCAAACAGCUGCUUCUCUUCAACCUCCCCCUCACGCAGAACCUUAUAUCCCUCCUCGAGAGGUGUCUUGGCUAUCUUUCCUCCAAGCACAUCAGUCUCCUUCAACAUAUCCAUAGUAUACUUCCUUUGAGACAUAAACAAACCCUCCUUUGAUCUGCAUAUCUCAAUCCCAGAAAAUACUUCAUCUCUCCCAAAUCCUUGAUGUCAAACACAGAUUUGAGAAACUCCUUAGUGGCCUGAAUCCCUGCCUUAUCACUUCCUGUGAUAAUCAAAUCAUCCACAUACACUAGAAUCACAAUGAUCCCUGAAGGUCCUGUCAAGGUGAAGAGAGUGUGAUCUAGUUCAGACUUCCUAAAGCCUCUCCCAUUGAGUGUUGUACUCAGCUUCCUGUACCAAGCUCUAGGUGACUGCUUCAACCCAUAUAUUGCUUUUUUCAAUCUCAAAACAUUCCCUGGCUUUACUAGAUGCUCAAGACCAGGAGGUGGAUGCAUGUAUACUUCAUCUUCAAGUUCACCUUGCAAGAACGCAUUCUUAACAUCCAUUUGCCACAAAUCCCACUCCAAGUUUGUUGCAAUGGAUAACACAAUUCGAAUUGUGUGAAGCUUGGCCACUGGUGCAAAAGUAUCAAUGUAAUCUUCCCCAUAAGUCUGUGUAAAUCCUCUUGCAACUAGCCUAGUCUUGCGCCUAUCUAUCUCCCCAUUUGCAAGAUACUUGAUGGUGAAGAUCCAUCUGCUUGAAACUGCCUUCUUCCCUUUAGGUAACUCACUCUCAUACCAAGUAUCAUUCCUGAUCAUUGCAUCCCUUUCAUCUCCUACUGAAUCUCUCCAAACCUUGUGCUUCAUAGCUUCUUCAUAAGAUCUUGGUAUCUCAUUCUCAUCCAAGUUACACAUAAACACCAUGUGCUCUUCUGGAUAUUCUGCAAAGGAACAUACGGCUUGAGAAGGAUGCUCCACAGCCUGGGCAUUGUAGUACACUCUCGUGUUUACCCAGUUGGAAGCAUCCCUCUUUAUCCUUGUGCUCCUUCGCAAAACCUGAACCUGAUCCUCAGCUUGAACCUCUGCUUGAACCUCUGUUUCUGUCUCACUCACCUCCUCUGGAUCAUGAACCUCUCUCUGCUCAUUCACACCGACCUGAGGAACAUUUUCUACUUCUUGUGUCACCUCUUGAUCAUGAUGACCUGAAUCCUCUUGGUGCUGCUCUUGCACUCUUGAUUCAGACUCCAGUCCCCCCUCAUGAUCAAGGGGAGUUGUUCUUUCAACUUCUCUAACCUUAUCUUGGGACAUGUUUACCCCAAGCCUUUCCAAGAUGUUCCUCAGAUUCUCUGCCAUGUUUCUUGGUUCUUGAGACAGAUCUUCCAAGUCUUCCCAAUUCUUUUCUUCAUAAUACCCCUUUGUCUCUAUGAACUUAACAUCUCUAGACACCAGCACUCUCCUGGUUGCUGGAUCAUAGCACUUGUACCCCUUCUGAGUUACUGAGUAUCCAAUGAGCAUUGCUUUAGUGCUCUUUGCCUCCAACUUGUUUCUCUGUUCUCCUGGAACCCAGACAUAACAUAGACAUCCAAAGACACGUAGAUGAUCUAUGUAUGGCUUGCUCUUGUUCAGCACCUCAAAAGGAGACAGAUUCUUCAAUACCUUAGUUGGAAUCCGAUUGAUAAGAUAGCAUGCAGUCUGAACAGCAUCACCCCAAACCCUCUUUGGAACAUUUGCAUGAUACAUCAUGGAUCUAGCCACCUCCAUCAGAUGCCUAUUCUUCCUCUCAGCUACCCCAUUCUGCUGUGGUGUGUAAGGACAACUGGUUUGAUGCAUUAUCCCAUGUUUAGCUAAGUGACUCUUGAAGUCAUGACUGGUGUAUUCUCCUCCAUUAUCAGACCGUAGUACCUUCACAGUAGCAUUGUAAUGGUUAGUUACAUAUGCUUGGAAGUUGACAAAAGCCUCAAACACUCUAUCCUUAGAUGGCAGCAAUGUGAUCCAUGUAUACUUAGACUUCUCAUCUAUGAAUGUCACAAAAUACUUCUGGUUUUCUCUAGACAUACAAGGGGCUGUCCACACAUCAGAAUGAACAAGAUCAAAGCAAUUUGCAUAUAUGGUCUCUGAUGUAGGAAAAACAGUCCUACAAUGCUUCCCUAAGAUGCAAGCUUCACAUUCCAAGUGAUUGAAUGACAUAUUAGGCAUAAUCAAUUCAAUUGCACGAGCAUGAGGAUGUCCUAAUCUAGCAUGCCAAGUAGUACUCUCACACCUAUCAGCAUUACUACUCAAGCAUACAGAAUCAAUAGGGUUAGAGGUCUUAGCUGUUUGGAGAUGAUAUAACUGAUUCUUGCUGUCUCCUCUACCAAUAACUCUCCCAGUCUUCAAAUCUUGAAACUCAACUUCAUUUGGCCUGAAUACUACUUGACAAUCAAGAUCAACUGUGGCCUUCUUCACUGAUAUCAGAUUUGAAGUGAACUGAGGCAAAUAGAACGCAGGUGAGCUCUUCUCAAACAGCUUGAGGUUUCCCACGCCUUCUAUUGGGAUCCUAGCACCAUUAGCUAUCAUAACACUCCCUGUUGCAGCCUUGACUCCACUUAUCAGACUUUUAUCACUGAUCAUAUGAUGUGUUGCUCCAGAAUCAAUGAUGAUGGGUUUGGACGUGGAUGCUAAGGCAGGAGCACCUUGUCUCCGGGUCGUAGCCAAAGCAUACACAUACUUGACAAACUCAUCCCAUUCUUUCUUUGUGAUAGGAUCAUCUGCUCCUUUGAUCUCUUGCCCCUUCAUAACCAUACUGUCCUCCACUGAGUUACUCAUAUAGGCAGAGUAAGAACACUCUCCUCUUACCACUUGUUGAGCCACCUCCUUGAUCAUCUUCAAGCUCAUCCUAUCAGUUAGAUACCCAGACUCCCUGUCCUUCUUCCACGCCUUUCCCAUCUUAAGCCACACUCUAGAAAGCUUUCUCAGCCUUCCCUUCUUACAGCUUGUACCACCUUUCCACUGGUUUGAACUCUUGUCCUCUUCCCACACAUCACACGCAUGAAGAACCAGAAACCAUAUCUCCUUCACAAGAAAGCUAAAGAACACAUCUUGUUUCCUCCUUUCUUUAAUAACUCUCAGAUCAGAUGUGCUUGGUCUCAGCACAUCCAGCUCCAUCCAUCCUUCUUUCAGCCUUCCCACAAGCUGAUACAACUCAUCCUUUCCUUGUCUCAAGCCGCGGAUCACUCUCUUGUCUCCACUGACCUUCACAAGUUUGGACCUUUCUACAUAAGCUUCUUCAAUCCCACUCUCCAAAGUGGUUUCUUGAUCAGCUUCAUCUUCACCUUUCAGAUUCCUUGUCUGACCUUCUUCAGUAGCCAUUUCCACUAAAGGCUUCCCCUUUACAUGACCACACCAUAACCCACAGCUUUCCAAAGCUCUCUUUGCCCAUCUUGACCAAUCGCCAUCUCUCUCUUCUUCAAGCUCCAUGAUUGUACUAGAUCUGUGCUUCUUCUCCAUGUCUAGAUUGUUUGUUUCCAUCAGAAUGAUCCAGACGAGACUAGUGACAGAAGAACACAACCCAGAAUCACCAAGAACACUCAAGAACACCAAGAACACUCAAGAACACCAAGAACACUCAAGAACACCAAGAAAGAACCUAAAUUUGCGAAAAACAAAUCACACACUCAUCCCCUUUUGAGCAACCUGGCUCUGAUACCAUAAACACUUUUGUGUUUUAGAGUGUGUUUAAUAAUAAUCAGAGAAGAUUAGAGUAAAGUUUAGAGAGAAUAGAGAGAUUCUAGAGAGAGAUAGACUCAAAACUCCAUUAAUUAAUAACUGAUGAGGUUUACAAGUAUUAAUAGAGAGAGCAACAAGGGUUUUCGAAAUGUAUAAGCAUGUGGAGUCAAUGGACAGGCUGGAACUCCUUUUGAAUCACUUGGCUGUGCUUUCUCACAUGCUUGCACUAGUAAAAAGCAUCCUCUCCUUUCCAGCAUCAUACAGGCUGUCAAAGUGCUCCCUUAUCCUUCCUUAUCCUCUUAGGUCGAAUUUCCUCUCUUCUCCUCAUUAAGUUACCUCCUCAUCCCAUCAGAUAACUUCCCCAAGUAGUUACUGUGGUUAAAAGAAAGUUACCACAGUAAAACUCUAAAGUUACUGUCUCAGCCUCUUUGGUCUUCAUCUCAACAN